AGAGUUUGAUCCUGGCUCAGAGCGAACGCUUGCGGCGGGCUUAACACAUGCAAGUCGAGCGCCUAAUCACCCUUCGGGGUGUGCGGGAGCGGCGAACGGGUGAGUAACACGUAGGUUACCUGCCCAGAGGUGAGGGACAACCGAGGGAAACUUCGGCUAAUACCACAUAUGGCCUACGGGUCAAAGGCUUCGGCCGCCUCUGGAUGGGCCUGCGUCCGAUUAUUUAGUCCUUGUUGGUGGGGUAACGGCCUACCAAGGGUACGAUCGGUAGCUGGUCUGAGAGGAUGAUCAGCCACACUGGAACUGAGACACGGUCCAGACUCCUACGGGAGGCAGCAGUGGGGAAUAUUGCGCAAUGGGCGAAAGCCUGACGCAGCCACGCCGCGUGUGUGAAGAAGGCCUUCGGGUCGUAAAGCACUGUCGAGAGGGAAGAAGAUCUGACGGUACCUCUCAAGAAAGCACCGGCUAACCCUGUGCCAGCAGCCGCGGUAAUACAGGGGGUGCAAGCGUUGCUCGGAAUCACUGGGCGUAAAGCGUACGCAGGCGGACAUUUAAGUUGGUUGUGAAAGCCCAGGGCUCAACCCUGGAACUGCGACCAAAACUGGAUGUCUUGAAUACAGGAGAGGUGGGUGGAAUUCCUAGUGUAGAGGUGAAAUUCGUAGAUAUUAGGAGGAACACCCGUGGCGAAAGCGGCUCACUGGCCUGAUAUUGACGCUGAGGUACGAAAGCGUGGGUAGCAAACAGGAUUAGAUACCCUGUAGUCCACGCCGUAAACGAUGAGUGCUAGUUGCUGGGUUUUAUUACUUAACUUGGUGACGUAGUUAACGCGUUAAGCACUCCGCCUGGGGAGUACGGUCGCAAGACUAAAACUCAAAGGAAUUGACGGGGGCCCGCACAAGCGGUGGAGCAUGUGGUUUAAUUCGAAGCUACGCGCAGAACCUUACCUGGGCUUGACAUCCUUCGAAGUUAGUCGAAAGAUUAACGUGCUCUCGCAAGAGAGAAUGAAGUGACAGGUGCUGCAUGGCUGUCGUCAGCUCGUGCCGUGAGGUGUUCGGUUAAGUCCGGCAACGAGCGCAGCCCCUAUUGUUAGUUGCCAUCAUUUAGUUGGGAACUCUAACAAGACUGCCGGUGACAAACCGGAGGAAGGUGGGGACGACGUCAAGUCCUCAUGGCCCUUAUGUCCAGGGCUACACACGUGCUACAAUGGUAUUUACAGAGGGAAGCAAAGCCGCGAGGUCGAGCUAAUCUCAAAAAAGAUGCCUCAGUUCGGAUUGGAGUCUGCAACUCGACUCCAUGAAGCUGGAAUCGCUAGUAAUCGCGGAUAAGCAUGCCGCGGUGAAUACGUUCCCGGGCCUUGUACACACCGCCCGUCACACCAUGGGAGUUGGCCGCGCCCGAAGUCGUGUCCCUAACCGCAAGGAGGGGAGCGCCGACGGCGAGGUUGGCGACUGGGGUGAAGUCGUAACAAGGU
rnacentral:rRNA from 1 species